GCUGGCAGCCGACCAGGUGGGUCGGCAGCCCCUCCUGGCUCCCCCGUCUACCUUGACCUGGCCUACCUGCCCAGCGGGAGCAGCGCCCGGCUGCUGGACGAGGAGUUCUUCCGGCGGGUUCGUGCGCUCUGCUACGUCAUCAGUGGCCAGGACCAGCGUAAGGAAGAGGGCAUGCGGGCUGUCCUGGACGCCCUCCUGGCUGGCAAGCAGCAGUGGGACCGUGACCUCCAGGUGACCCUGAUCCCCACCUUCGACUCGGUGGCAAUGCACGAGUGGUAUGAGGAGACGCACGCACGGCACCAGGCUCUGGGCAUCACCGUGCUGGGCAGCAACAGCACCGUGUCCAUGCAGGACGAGGCCUUCCCCGCCUGCAAGGUGGAGUUCUAGCCCCGUGCCCGCCACCCAGCCCCUCAGCCCGGAGUCGACCACUGCCUGAGAGUCCCCCGCAUCAGAAAUAAACCAGGUACCCCAC